GCCGGAGUGGCAGAACCCGGUAAUGCGCUAGACUCGAGAUCUAGUGUCCGCAAGGACUUAGGAGUUCAAAUCUCCUCUCCGGCG
rnacentral:tRNA from 1 species